UCCUGCUGGGUCCGGCUGUGCAAAGAGAACACAGAAACCCAGGGGUGGCACCGGGCACCCUUCCUGCAUGUGGGUCCCUAUCGGGCGGCCCUCUGAAUCGCCAUUCAGCCCUGCACUCCAGGUAUCUGUGCUCUUCCUGCCUCUCCAACUUGAGUCAGAGCUCCCGAGGGUAGGGACUGGGCCACUUCUGGCCACACUUCUUGUACCUAGCACAAGACCUGGCCCAGAGCAGCCAUGUGUAAUGUUUGUUGAAAGAGUGAGGGCAAGAACGAGGCACAAAGUUACAUCAGGAUGCCUUUAGAUGUCUCUGGGAUUAACUCUGUAGCCGGAGGUAUUUACGGGCCAAACAAGGGGCCUGCCGAGCCCUCCUCAGGAGACCCUCUUGCCCACCACCUCCACGUAGGGAGCAGUGGUGGCGGCCAUGUUAUGUACCACAUGACCCAUCCUGCACCAGAGCUGAUUGGACAAGGGGUGGGCACGUGACCCUAGGCAGCCAAUCCAGGGGCUGCUCAGAGACCUACAAGAUUUCUUAGUGCGGAGCGCUCCGCUGAAGAGCGGCAGUAGAGAGUGUCCUACCCCAGCUCAGGAAUUUGACCUGGGAAACCCUGGGAGAGAAUCAGCCAGAUGGUGGCAGGAGGAGGAAAAGACACCAGGGAAUGAAAAAAUAUACACUCUAUACAUGUUGAGAAACAGAUCCCACUGAGGGUAUCUCAUCAAAGAAGUGAGUUCAGGAUGUUGUGUUCUGAUGGAGCUGCCCUGUUGAGGCCCAGGGUAAAGCCACCCCCCCGAAAGUCCCCCAGCCAUCUGAAUGAGCUUACGCCCAGCCUGGGCGGCAGAGGCCGAGGUCAGCGAGAAACCAAGGGCCAAUCGAGACUUCAGAGCAGUCAGUGGUCCCAAAGGCUGCUUCCACGCCAGCUCCCCAGCAUGCAGGCGCCGAUCCAUAAACAAGCUGCCAAAAUCCCCUGGUCAUUAACAUCACCUUCACACAGCCCCAGGUCUGUGCACACGGGCCACGGCUCAGAGUGGGAGGGGCGGGGGUGGUUUUCCGAGUGAUGAGGUUCGUGCACCCAUGAGGCUGGGGUCCAGGAGUCUGAGUAAAGCCAAUGACCCCUGCACUGAAUCUCAAAGCAAACUGUAAGAGCCAUGCCUCUUCGUGUCUGAUCCGUCCUGAUGGGGGCCGGGACUGGAGUUCAGAGCGGUCUGCGCGGUCACACACGAGGUGGAGAUGCGCCCCACCCUGCAGCGGGAGGGGCGGGAGCCCCGACCGUCACCUGAGUGCUUACGUGCUUGAACUCGUUGUCGUGCACCAAAGUGCCACUAGAGGGCACCAAAGAACCGUGCGGAGGGUCCCGCCGGGCGGCCGUGAAUCACCCUCCGAUGGGGACACAGAGCUAAUUCUGUGGUUCAGUGGGGCUGCAAGUGGUGAAGCCGGCAGCAGCAUCCCGUGCUACUCCAGAAGGCACCCACUGGCCUUAAACGAGGCCAGAUUUCCAGGCACCGUAGAGGACCCGCCCUCCCCGCCUUUCCGGGGGCAGCGGGGGUGGGAGGGUGGGGGGAAAAUAUUGGGUAAUGAGGGGCUGGAGGGCCCAGGCUGGGGACCUGGUCACAGUGAGCACAGGGCCCUAGCCCCUGCAGAUGCCAUCCUGGGAUCUCACAUCAGGGUCUGAGCCAGGAUGUCAGGCCCACUUCUCCUGUGUACGGUUGUGGACUGCAGCAUGUCUACUGGCCUAAGAAUGUUUCCCUUGCUCUGGAUGACUGGCCUACAAGAAUUCUCAACUUGCUUUUUUCUCCUUUUUGUUUCUCUUCUUUACUUGCUCGUCAGCGUCGGAGCUGAGAUUCAAACCCAGGUCUGUCUGACUGCCGACCCAGUGUUCUUUCCUCCCUCACCCUGUGCCCUCCCGAGCCUGCCCGCCUUCUCACAGCGUUGUGUCAAACCCCAAGGAGACAGUGGGGACAGACCUGCUCUGUAAACUGUGAGGCGCUGCUCGUGGGAGGAACGACUGAAUCGCUAAGCAUUCGUUAGAGGCCUGCCCGAUGCCCUGGAGCUCUGUGAAGGCUGAGCUUCGGUGCUGCAAGCGGAACUCAGGCUGAUCAGAUGCUCUUCCUGCCUGGCAGGGACGGCACCCCGCCGAGAGGGCACACUGGUCCACGCUGGCCGGUGCUCACACCCGUCUCCUGCCCAGCGGGAGCAGGCAGGUGCUGCCUGGGAAAGCCUCGCCCAUCUGUGCAGCGAACGGAGAGCAGCUGGCCUGUGAGUCCCUCUGCGCAGCGCAAUUACUCACAAUGUAGGUCAGUGGCCCCUGCAAACGCCCUGCUUUGUCAGGCCACACAGACGGACAGGUGGGGGUCCGGGCCUGGGCUCAGGCGUGGAGGCCUGCGGGGCCGCAGUCUUGGUCCUCCUCUAGACUUGCUGAGUGACCUUGGCAAGUAAGUGCUCGCCCUUUCGAGACCUCAGUUUCCCAUUUGCAAAGGGAGCCCCUGGGUUAGUGUACUGUCUAGUCAUGUGAGCCUGAAUGAUGGAGGCAGGGCCAUAUUUGUCCUGCAUUCGCUCAUUCAGAAUCACUGAAUCGCUAUUCUCACAGUCCGAGCGUGCUGCACGUGCUGGGUGUGGGUGCAGGUGUGGAAGACCCACAGCAUGCUCGCCUGUGAGGAGUGUGCCUUCUAGGCGGGGCACACCCCACGUGUGGACGAACCACCUGGUACCACCAUGAACAGAGCCGCCAUUGGUGUUCCCAAACAGAACUACAGGCCCUCUGCGGGGCGCUAACGGGGACCUUCUUCAGAUCGGGUCGUCUGGGAAGGCUUUUCUGAAGUGCUGACAUUUAGUCUGAGACCUGAGUGAUGAGAAAGACCAGCCCUGAGAACCUAGGCUGAGAGCCUUCCUGGGAGAGGGAACAGCAAGUGGGAAGGACCCGAAACGGCAAAGACCUGGGCAUGUUUCAGGGCCCCAGAGGACACCAGUGUGGCUGGAGUGUGGUGAGGGAGGGGCCAGCACCGAUCCUCACUGAUAAUGUGCACUCGAACCCCC